rnacentral:lncRNA from 1 species
UGAAAAUAAGAGUGGAAGAGUAUUUUAUAAUGCCAGUUUAGCAAGAGAGCAGUGCAGAAUAAAACCACACAAUAUUUGCAAUGAAAUCUUUCAUAAACUAUCUUUAAUGGGAAUUAAAAAGCAGGAAGAUAAAAAAUUGAGUUAACACAAAAGUAGGUCAUUUUACUUAUUUGACAUAAGAAUUCCUUUGCUAGAGGAACUGAGAUGAUUUAACGUAGGCUUUAGCAAAGAGUAUGACUUAGUACCUCAUGCCAUUCUGUUAAACAAUUAGGACCACAAAAUACCUGCAAAAGUGCAUAAUAAGGGGACACAGAAAUUAUAGUCUGCAACAUUCUCUGUCAAUAUGGAAUCAUCCCAGGGCAGUGUGUCUCUGAUGGAUUUUCUUAUGACUGAAUUUCACAGUAUUCAACAUUUUCCUCAGUGACCUAAAAGUAAAUAUAAAAUCAGCAUUAAUAAAAGCUGCAGAUGACAUGAGGGUUGGCAGAAUGGUAACUAAUAGUGAAUGUAGAUAAGUCAGUACGAUUUGGGUCAGCUGGUAGACCUGUCUAUUCAAACAAACUGUAAUUUAAUGCAGCAAGAUACAGCUGUCCCUGCAGAAUACGGAAUUCUCAGCUGAAAAAUAGUGAGUUUAAAAUAAAUUGUGGAGUCACAAUGGACAGGAAUCUGAGUUCUCAUUGUGAUUCUGUGGCACAAAGAGGUAGUACAGAUGGUGAAAGUGCAAAGAAGUAGUGAAUAGAAACAGGGAAAUAUUUUUUAAUCUGCACGUGGAAUUGGUGAUGCCGCUGUGCUACCUCCAGGUGUGCUACAUACGUCACCUUUUUUAAAAAAAAUUCAGGCCUAUCUUCCUUUCAGAAGGCAAUUUUAACCACACCAAUAUCUGAGUUCAAGGCAGGGGUACUCCUGGAGCAGAAACAAAACCAUCUCUGGAACAAAACCAUCUCUGGCCAUGUCCCUCACACUGGGUGAAGGAGGUCUGAGACAGUCCCUUGCUAUCUCAGACCUACGGGAGAAAGGUGAAAUGCUUACGUGACUCAUUUACACGCAAGAGAAGAAAAU